rnacentral:rRNA from 1 species
GAGCGCGUGUAGCAAUACACGAGCGGCAGACGGGAGAGUAACACGUGGGAACGUACCCUUCGGUUCGGAAUAACCCAGGGAAACUUGGACUAAUACCGGAUACGUCCGAAAGGAGAAAGAUUUAUCGCCGAAGGAUCGGCCCGCGGCUGAUUAGCUAGUUGGCGGGGUAAUGGCCCACCAAGGCGAUGAUCGGUAGCCGGCCUGAGAGGGCGCACGGCCACACUGGAACUGAAACACGGCCCAGACUCCUACGGGAGGCAGCAGUGGGGAAUCUUGGACAAUGGGCGCAAGCCUGAUCCAGCCAUGCCGCGUGAGUGAUGAAGGCCCUAGGGUUGUAAAGCUCUUUCGGCGGGGACGAUAAUGACGGUACCCGCAGAAGAAGCCCCGGCUAACUUCGUG